rnacentral:rRNA from 1 species
AUGGCCACUAUAGCCGCGGAGAUGCAGUGCCCCGUCACUCACUUUCCCAUCACCUACCUCGGGCUGCCCCUCUCUAUCCGCAAGGCCUCUUUGACGAGCUUGCAAUCGAUCAUCGACAAGCUUGGGCGCAAGCUCUCCACAUGGCGGGCAUCCAUGCUAUCCAAGGGAGACCGUCUAUCCCUUGUGCGCCACGUCCUCAGUGCCAUCCCCACGCACUUCCUCAUGGCCAUCGCCUUCAACAGCACCGCCAUCAAGAAGGUGAACCGGAUCAUCCGUGGAUUCUUAUGGGCAGGAUCGGAUAAGGCCAACGGUGGCCAGUGCCUCGUCAACUGGCAGCGUGUAUGCCGGCCUAUCUUCCUCGGUGGUCUCGGUAUCCGGGACAUACAGCGUACGGGCAUCUCUCUCCGUGUUCGUUGGCUAUGGUUGCAACGCACCGAUGCUACUCGCCCAUGGAGCCACCUUCACGUCCCCCACGACGCGGACGCGAGUGCAAUUUUCAGGGCCUCCACGACCUGGCAGCUUGGAGCGGGAGACUCUUGCAGAUUUUGGACCGACCACUGGAUCUCCGGCAGCUCUAUGGCCGAGAUUGCCCCUCUCGUUCUCGCUCUCGUCCCAAGGCGCCUUUGGAAGCAACGCUGCGUGCGUGAGGGUCUACACCAGCGCUCUUGGGUACAGGAUAUCCGCGGUGCACUUGGGCCGGCGGCCAUGGUGCAGUACAUUCAGCUUUGGCGCUUGGUGCGUCACACUACUCUCUCCAAUGAGCCGGACACGCUACGCUGGCGUUGGACCUCAUCUGCUACAUACACGGCAAGCUCUUGCUACAAGGCCCUAUUCUUCGGCGCUUGUGAAGACCCUUUCUGGCGGCUCACCUGGCGACCUUGGGCCCCGCUCCGCGUCAAGUUCUUCCUUUGGCUGGCCAUGCAAAACCGAUGCUGGACCGCGGAGCGCCUGGCUCGCCGCGGAUUGCCCCACGACGACGCUUGCGUAUUGUGUGACCAGGACGAUGAGACCAUGCACCACCUUCUUGCCGGUUGCUCCUUCUCUCGCCAAAUUUGGCACGAGACCCUCGGCUGGGCACGUGUGCCCAUCAGCCUCCCUGCCCCCGACACGCCAUUCCAAGUGUGGUGGCAAUCCUCCCUCGACAUCGCGCCCGCUUCCAUGCGCAAGGGUAUAUCCUCCCUCAUCAUCCUCACAGCUUGGUGGAUUUGGAAGCAACGUAAUCCUGCAUCUUUGACGGAGCGACACCAUCGAUCACCUUCACCUCUGACACCAUCAAGGACGAGGCACGACUAUGGGCCAAGGCGGGCGCCACCGGACUGCAAAACAUUAUCCCCGGCGCGUAGUCUCUAG